rnacentral:rRNA from 1 species
UACGUAUGGUGCAAGCGUUAUCCGGAUUUACUGGGUGUAAAGGGAGCGUAGGCGGCGCGUUAAGUCUGAUGUGAAAACCCGAGGCUCAACCACGGGAGUGCAUUGGAAACUGGCGUGCUGGAGUGCCGGAGAGGUAAGCGGAAUUCCUAGUGUAGCGGUGAAAUGCGUAGAUAUUAAGAGGAACACCAGUGGCGAAGGCGGCUUACUGGACGGCAACUGACGCUGAGGCUCGAAAGCGUGGGGAGCAAACAGG